rnacentral:rRNA from 1 species
GGGGGGACGUCUUACAUGCAAGUCGACGAUGAGCCCAGCUUGCUGGGUGGAUUAGUGGCGAACGGGUGAGUAACACGUGGGUGAUCUGCCCUGCACUCUGGGAUAAGCCUGGGAAACUGGGUCUAAUACCGGAUAUGACCUCGGGAUGCAUGUUCUGGGGUGGAAAGUUUUUCGGUGCAGGAUGAGCCCGCGGCCUAUCAGCUUGUUGGUGGGGUAAUGGCCUACCAAGGCGACGACGGGUAGCCGGCCUGAGAGGGCGACCGGCCACACUGGGACUGAGACACGGCCCAGACUCCUACGGGAGGCAGCAGUGGGGAAUAUUGCAAAAUGGGCGCAAGCCUGAUGCAGCGACGCCGCGUGAGGGAUGACGGCCUUCGGGUUGUAAACCUCUUUCACCCAUGACGAAGCGCAAGUGACGGUAGUGGGAGAAGAAGCACCGGCCAACUACGUGCCAGCAGCCGCGGUAAUACGUAGGGUGCGAGCGUUGUCCGGAAUUACUGGGCGUAAAAGAGCUCGUAGGCGGUUUGUCGCGUCGUCUGUGAAAUCCCGCAGCUCAACUGCGGGCUUGCAGGCGAUACGGGCAGACUCGAGUACUGCAGGGGAGACUGGAAUUCCUGGUGUAGCGGUGAAAAUGCGCAGAUAUCAGGAGGAACACCGGUGGCGAAGGCGGGUCUCUGGGCAGUAACUGACGCUGAGGAGCGAAAG